CCUACGGGGGGCAGCAGUGGGGAAUAUUGGACAAUGGGGGGAACCCUGAUCCAGCCAUGCCGCGUGUGUGAAGAAGGCCCUCGGGUUGUAAUGCACUUUCAGUGAGGAAGAACGCCUGGUGGUUAAUACCCAUCAGGAAAGACAUCACUCACAGAAGAAGCACCGGCUAACUCCGUGCCAGCAGCCGCGGUAAUACGGAGGGUGCGAGCGUUAAUCGGAAUUACUGGGCGUAAAGCGCGCGUAGGUGGCUUGAUAAGCCGGUUGUGAAAGCCCCGGGCUCAACCUGGGAACGGCAUCCGGAACUGUCAAGCUAGAGUGCAGGAGAGGAAGGUAGAAUUCCCGGUGUAGCGGUGAAAUGCGUAGAGAUCGGGAGGAAUACCAGUGGCGAAGGCGGCCUUCUGGACUGACACUGACACUGAGGUGCGAAAGCGUGGGUAGCAAACAGGAUUAGAUACCCGUGUAGUC
rnacentral:rRNA from 1 species